GUUGAUGUAGCUUAAUAAAACAAAGCAAGACACUGAAAAUGUCUAGAUGAGUACUUAAACUCCAUAAACA
rnacentral:tRNA from 1 species